GAGUUGCGAACGGGUGAGUAACGCGUAGGUAACCUGCCUGGUAGCGGGGGAUAACUAUUGGAAACGAUAGCUAAUACCGCAUAAUAGUAGAUGUUGCAUGACAUUUGCUUAAAAGGUGCAAUUGCAUCACUACCAGAUGGACCUGCGUUGUAUUAGCUAGUUGGUGGGUAACGGCUCACCAAGGCACGAUACAUAGCCGACCUGAGAGGGUGAUCGGCCACACUGGGACUGAGACACGGCCCAGACUCCUACGGGAGGCAGCAGUAGGGAAUCUUCGGCAAUGGACGGAAGUCUGACCGAGCAACGCCGCGUGAGUGAAGAAGGUUUUCGGAUCGUAAAGCUCUGUUGUAAGAGAAGAACGAGUGUGAGAGUGGAAAGUUCACACUGUGACGGUAUCUUACCAGAAAGGGACGGCUAACUACGUGCCGCAGCCGCGGUAAUACGUUAGGUCCCGAGCGUUGUCCGGAUUUAUUGGGCGUAAAGCGAGCGCAGGCGGUUA
rnacentral:rRNA from 1 species